GGUCUCCACUCUUCCUCACCUCCAUGUGCAUAGAGUGAAGUCAUCACUUGAAUCUUUCUGGGGCUCCUUGCCUGUGUGUUCUUUUCUCUUAGAGAUGCCUGUUUUUCUAUAUCUUUUCUAUCUGUUGAUUUUUUUUUUCAGAAUGAAGGAAGGUUUAUUCAUUCUGUUUAAUCAGAAAUGCUUCAUAUGGCCACUGGAGGCAGAGUCAAAAAAACCCAAAAAACAUAUACUUCAAUUAAAAAAAAUCAAUGGAUGCAAACUAAUAAUAACCCUUUGGUUUAAAAUGCCUGAUAUGAAAGACCAUUUCAAUUGAGGUAAAGAAUGAAUUAUAAAAGAAAACAUUCAGAAUAAGAGCGAGAAAGACAUAUACCAUAGUUUUCAUUCAUGUGUGGAAUCUAAAAACCCAAAUAAAUGAAGUGAAACAGUCUCAUAGAACAAACCAGUGGUUGCCACAGUCAAGGGGACAUUGUGGGAGGUGGGGGUGUAGAUAUGGGCAAAACAGGUGAAGGGGAUUAAGAGGUACAAAUUCCUAGUUAUAAAAAUAAAUCACAGGGAUGUAAUGUACAUCACAGGGAAUAUAGUCAAUAACAUUGUAUAAUUUUGUAUGGUAUGUAAAUCUAUAAAAAUAUUGACUUACUAGGUUGCACACCUAAAACUAAUAUAAGGCAAAUAUACCUCAAUAAAAUAAAAAAGAUGAAUUAUUUUAUGAGUCAAAAUCGUUUCCAAUGUGCCUCAACAGGAAAUCCUAAUUUUAUUUUAUUUUUUAUUUUUAUUUUUUUUGGUAACUCAAUUCUGCCUUUUUUCAAACCAAUCCAACAAUCUCUCAGUGACUUCUGAUUUGUAAUUUAGCCCCAUUCAUUCAUUUCCCAUUUCUCAUGGCUAUCACUGCUCCUUCCAAGUUCUGUUUCUAAUCUCUCAGGGAUUAUGCAACAUCCUCUGCAUGUUUACAAAGAGAAAGAAGUUCUUUUAUCAGAUUGGUCUAUAUUUUGGUCCUACACAGGAAUCUGUAGCUGACAUCUGACCUUGUUCCAUUCAUUUGUCACCACGCAUGACAGCUAGGGCUUACUUUUGAGAAUGGAGACUGGUUCUCGUUACUGUUUACAGUGCACAAUGAUGAUCCAAUGGAGAUGCCAUUCAUUCUUAGCCACCAUGCAGUGGGUCUUGCCAUGUCCCUUUGAUGUUCAUCUCUCUUCUCCAUACCAACCUGGCUUUUGUUCUCAUUCAUUCUCUAAUUUGAAUGAGCCACUCUAGACCCUUGGUAUGGCCAUCAUCAAAAAGUCUACAAGCAAUAAAUGCUGAAGGAGGUGUGGAUAAAAAGGAACCCUGCUAUACUGUUGAUGGGAAUGUAAAGUGGUGCAACCACUAUGGAGGACAGUAUGGAGGUUCCUCAAAAAACUGAAUAUAGAAAUACCAUUUAACACUGGGAACUGUAUCUAGUCACUUGUGAUGCAACAGGAUGGAGGAUAAUGUAAGAAAAAGAAGGUACACACGAAUGUGUGACUGGGUCACUUUGCUGUACUGUAGAAAACUGACAGAAUACUGUAAACCAACUAUAAUGGAAAAAACAAAAGUCAUUAAAAAAAAGAACUACCAUAUGACCUAACAAUCUCACUCUUAGGCACAUAUCCAGAAAAGAAACUCUAAUUUGAAGAGAUAUUUACCCCAAUGUUUACUGCAGCAUUAUUUACAAGAGCCAAGACAUGGAAGCAAUGCAAAUUUCCAUCAACAGAGGAAUGGAUCAGGAAUAUGUGGUACAUAUCUACAGUGGAAUACCACUCAGCCAUAAAAAAGAAUGAAAUAAUGUCAUUGGCAGCAACAUGGCUAGACCUCGAGAUUAUCAUACUGAGUGAAGUAAGUCAGACAUAGAAAGACAAACAUCAUAUGAUAUCAUGUAUGUGUGGAAUCCAAUAAAAUAUAACACAAAAGGACUUAUUUAAAAAGCAGAAACUCGGGAGUUCCCAUUGUGGCUCAGCAGAAACAAAUCUGACUAGCAUCCAUGAGAAUGAAAGUUUGAUCCUUGGCUCCUCUUAGUGGGUUAAUGAUCAGGCACUACAGUGAGCUGUGGUGUAGGUCACAGACAUGGCUCAUAUCUGGCAUAGCUGUGGCUGUGGUCUAGGCUGGAGACUACAGCUCCGACUUGACCCCUAGCCUAGAAAACUCCAUAUGCCAUGGGUGUGGUCCUAAAUAGGUAAGUAAACAAACAAACAAAAACAAAUUCAGAGAUUUCAAAACCAAUCUCAUGGUUAUCAUGUAAUGGAAACCACUGGGGGGAGGGACAAAUUGGGAGGGUGGAAGUAACAUACACACACUAUUGCAUAAAAUAGAUGAUUAACCAGAACCUGCUGCAUAGCACAUGAAAGUCUACUCAAUAGUGUGCAAUCACCUAUACAGGAAAAUAUAAUGGAUAUGUGUAUAUGUAUGACUGACUCACUUUGCUGCACACCUGAAACAAAUACAACAUUGUAAAUCAACUAUAAUCCGAUAAUUUUUUAAAAAAAGAAAACCUUUGGGUUACCUCAAGGAAAGUACUGAGGACAACAUCUAGUACUCUGAUGUAUACAAAUCGAACACCAUCAUUUUCUUUUUUUUCCUUUUUUUGUUUUUGUUUUUGUUUUCUGGCUUUUUUGAGCCACACCCACAGCAUAUGGAGGUUCCCAGGCUAGGGGUCGAAUGGGAGCUGUAGCUGGCAGCCUAUGCCACAGCCACAGCAAAGCCAGAUCCAAGCCACAUCUGUGACCUAUACCACAUCUCACAACAAUGCCAGAUCCUUAACCCACUGAGCAAGGCCAGGGAUUGAACCUACAUCUUCAUGAAUGCUAGCCAAAUUAGUUUCCACUGAGCCAUUAAGGGAACUCCUUUUUUUAAUUUUUAGAAUGAAUUGUGUCCCCUUCAAAAUUCAUAAGUUGAAAUCCUAAUCUCUAGCAUCUCAGAAGGUGACUUAUUUGGAGAGAAGUUCUUUAAAGAGGUAAUUAAGAUAAAAUGAUGUCAUUAGGGUGGGCUCAGAUACUAUAUGAAUGGUGUCUUUAUAAAAGGAAAAAUUUAGGACCCAGUCAUACACCAAGGGAAGAGCACGUAAAACACAGGGAGAAGAUGACAGCAAAAUAGGCCUCAGAAGAAACUAAAACUGUCAGUACCUUGGUCUCAGACUUUUAGCAUCCAGAAGGUUGUGAGAAAAAAAAUUCUGGUGGCUUGAGCCACCCGGUCUGUGAUACGUUGUUACAACAGCCCUAGCAAACUAACACCUUUUUUUUUUGUCUUUUUAAGGACACACCCAAGGCAUAUGGAAGUUCAGACUAGGGGUCAAAUCAGAGCUGCAGCUGCCAGCCUACACCACAGGCAUAGCAAUGCCAGAUCUGAGCCACUUCUGUGACCUACACAACAGCUCAUGUCAACACCGGAUCCACUGAGCAGGGCCAAGGAUCAAACCCAGUCUUCAUGGAUAGUAGUCAGGUUCCUUACUACUGAGCUACAACAGAAACUCCCAAGACAAUACUUUCAAUAAAUUUCCUGGUAAUAACUGAAAAGUAAAUUGUACUUAAGGUCUCAACUUUUUAUCCAUAGCAAAGGCUUUCCACAUGUCUUCCACUCAGGCUAGAAAAUUAGUUUUCCAAAUACGAAGUUCUCUUAUUUCUGGAUUAUUCAGGAGAAUGUAAAACUGGAAACUUUCCAUAAUCUCUAGCUUGUCUGAGAAUAAGACCUAGAACUCCACUAGUAAUAGACUGGGGUGCAAAAGUCAAUAUGAGAACAAAAUGACAAGGGAAACCAGAUUUAAACGGAAGCCUUAAGGACAUAAAGAAUCACUAUAACCUAAAGAUAUUGGAAGAUGUCCCUGCCAUCAGCCCCAUCAAUUAUGUGGGAAAUAUGAGAGAGCCACCUUCCUGUCAAGCUUACACUUUGCCAUUUUUCUUUGAGCAGCCUUUUCCUUAGCAACUGCAUGGAAAGAGGCAGCUGGAUCUUAGAGUGGAAUCCAAAUUCUCCUGAGUUCCCUGGUCAUAAUGGCCCCUCUUAAUUUCCAUCAUCUGCUGAGCUAGCAUACACUUUUUUACCAUUUCUUUUUAAUACGUUUAAAGAUGCUAGCUGAUGUACAUGCAAUAGAUUGUCACAGGUAUGUGACGGAAACUAGCACAAAUCAAUCACGUCCCGUUCUGACUGAUGGGAUUUAAUGACCUCAUUUCAAAGAGGAGGAAGUUGCUCUUUCUCUUCUGGCCCCAUGUGCUUUGGGAUCAGGUGACCCAGGUGCAGAUGUGGGGCGAAAUCUAAGAACCACACUACAGAUAAUCUCAAAAGUAGUACAGAAACAUCAAGAAACCCUGAUCACAAUGAUAUGAAUCCCUUAAGGGGGUGGACCCCAAGUUCCUGAGGAACAUGCACUUUUCCAGAAAGCAUAACAAGAAGGGCCUAACGAAGAUGCAGGCCAACAAUGCCAAGGCCAUGCAUGCACGUGCUGACUCUAUCAAGGCUCUUGUAAAACCCAAGGAGGUCAAGCCCAACAUCCCAUAGGGUGGCAGCCACAAGCUCAGUUGACUUGCCUACACUGCUCACCCCAAGCUUUGGAAACAUGCUCCUGCCCUCAUGGCCAAGGGUUUCAGGCUCUUCUGGACACAGUCCCAGGCCAAGGCUCAGACCAAGGCCAGGCCACAGCUGAAGGUCUAGCUGCAAGUCCAGCUCGGGCUCUGACUCCCAAAGUUUCCCAAAUCCCCACAAAGGCUCCGCAAUAGAGGUGUUUAUCUGCCACUGUGAGGACAGAAGCACUGGUGUGAUCCCUGGGCUGCUGUCAAUAUGGGGUUGGUGUCCUCCUGUGAUAUUUGUAGAAAUAAACCUGUGGGAGGAUGUGUCCAAAAAAAAAAAAAAAAAAAA
rnacentral:lncRNA from 1 species